UCUUCAUUAUUACGUUCACAAUAUUAACAUACACAACUUUGGUUCAACUCAAAUCUCAUUGCUGAACAAAAUUCAGCUUCCUUACCCGAAGACCACAAAAACCACUAGCUGAGCAAAUUCAGUCGACGCUGAACAAAUUAUUUUGGGGCGUUCGUGGCUUAGGCAUUAGGAUCUUAUGGACAAUUAUGAAAAAAAAAAACUCGUGAUCGCAUCUGUUUGAAAUCCAAUAAAUGAGAGUCCACCUAAGCUAAGUCAGGAGCGCCAUAAUAUCGCUACACGCAAAGUUUAACAUUAAAAAAACAUAUCAUGAUAUGUCAAAUCCAAAUUAAAAUAAACCAUCUGUGACUUCUAUCACAUUCAUAAGAAAUUGAAAUUUUACUCAAUCCCCCUGCAGCCUUAGACGGACUCUUUAUUAUCUCUACUAGUCGGUUUAUGAGUUUACAUUCGUUUAACCCUUUAACGGCUUGACAUCUCUUUAAAAAAAACAAUAUUUUCGACAUUUUAAUAUUCCGUUGAUAUAACUGCAAGAAUCAGAGAGAAAUUAGAUUUUUAAUAUAUAAUCCACUAAGGGGCUAGAGUCAGACCAAGAAAAGUCUGCAGCGAUUUUAAUAGCCCACGCGGUGCAAGUUUUAUUUAUACGUCAUUAUUUUAUAGAAGUUUGACGUUUAAAAUAGCACUAAACUGAGUGGGCCAUCAAAAUCGCUGCAGACUUUUCUUGGCCUAACUCCAAAUUACAAGUAGUAUUUUGUAUGGCAAUGUUAUCAUUAAGAGCCCUUAUUCCUUAGAGCGUUCGCCGGUUUUGCGAAAUAACACUCGAUAGAUGGCGCUGGCGCUUGAUACGCGAGCGCCGGCAAAGCUAUGCGCGUUUCAACGCAGACGAGAAUAAUAUUGAUACUUUUCAAUUUAAUUUGCAAGUAAAUUUAUUUUAACGUUAUAUUGGCACUCUUUUAUAAGCAUGAUAGUAGUGAAUAGAGUGUAUGUGUUGAGAAAAUAUAUAACCAACGACGAAUAAAUAAUAAUGAUUGUUUACCUAUGUCAUGGAAUUAUUGCGACAAGUUCAUCCAUGAAGUCAAGGAACUAUUCAAGUCAGUUCACCAAGGAAGUUGAAUAAUUAAAUGUUUGAAAGAUAAGAUUAUACUAAAUUAUAGUAUAUAUACAUAUUUACGGUGUUGCUUAUUUCGUCGAAAUUGAAAUUUUCUAUGUCUCACCCCCUUAAUUAAAUUGUUCUCUUUCACUAAAAAACAAAUGUGUAUUUUUUUCAGAAUUUUCAAUUAUGUUUUAGGGGUCGCUACCGAAUUUUGAAAAUUUGCACCCUCCAUACAAGAUUAUUUUUUUGUCUUUUUUCUUGUUUUUUUUUAUAUGAAUCAAUGGGUCAGGAUCAGGAAAAUAAUACCACUAUUUUUUUAAAGCUUAUUAUGCGUGUUUUAGGCGUUCUAAAUAUUCAUUCAGCAGUGCGCACUCCUAAAAUAGGAAUAAAAAUUAAAAUAUAUUGACUAUACCUAGUAUUGAAUUACAUGUAAAUAGCUUUCAUAUACUUUGACUCACUGUCUCACUAAUUAAACUCACAACUUGAUCUUGAUAUCUGUAUCAUUUAAGCCACUAGGCCAAGUUUGGUAUCGUUUUCGUAUAAAUCGGGGGUGCCGAAUUCAUUGUCAUCAUCAUCAUCAUCAUCAUCAGGUGUCAUCAUAAUGACACCAUUCCGAAGUAAAAACACAUAAAAUAUGAAGAAAAAAAAUACUUUUUAUAAUUCCUCUUCACACUUAAACUGCUGAACCAAUUUAGUUAAACCCACAUUAUAGACGGGUCUAACGCGGGUAUGUGAGUUAAUAUGUGUUCAAAACGCGAAAGUUUAAAAUAUUCAAUUUAGUUCAUAUUUGGUAGGUACAGAGAUAGUUUGAGUCCCAGGGAAUAACAUAGCAAACUUUUAAUCUCAAAAAUUAUCCCUUAAGGAUGUGAAAAGGGAGGAAGCAAAUGAAGCUUUAUUUGUAAGUAUAUAAAAUAAAAUAAUAUUAAUAAUCUAUCAACCGCAUCUAGAUCGAUAGUGCUCGUCAAGGCAAAUCUAUUGAGCCCAAAUACGAUGGAGUUAUGAUGAGUAGAUUCGGAGUUCUGGUGACCAACUCCUGUCUCCAUCAUGAGAACCUGGGCUUCAUCUAGAUCGAUGGUGCUUGUCGGGGCAAAUCUAUUGAUCCCAAACACGAUGGAGUUAUAAUGAGUAGAUUAGGACUUCUGGCGACCAACUCCUAACUCCAUCUCAUUAAUGGAGUCAGGAGUUGGUCACCAGAAGGGGCUCGUGACUCUGGACAUCAUCUAGAUAGAUGGUGCUCGUCAGGGCAAAUCUAAUGAGCCCAAACACCAUGGAGUUAUAAUGAGUAGAUGAGGAUUUCUGGUGACCAACUCCUGACUCCAUCAUGAGAACCUGGACUUCAUCUAGAUCAA